rnacentral:rRNA from 1 species
GUGAGGAAUAUUGGUCAAUGGAGGCAACUCUGAACCAUCCAAGUAGCGUGCAGGAUGACGGCCCUAUGGGUUGCAGACUGCUUUUAUAUGGGAACAAACGUGGCGACUCGCUCGCCAUCCGCGUGUACCAUAUGAAUAAGGACCGGCUAAUUCCGUGCCAGCAGCCGCGGUAAUACGGAAGGUCCCGGUGUUAUCCGGAUUUAUUGGGUGUAAAGGGAGCGCAGGCCGCCCCCCAAGCGUGUUGUGAAAUCCAUCGGCCCAACCGUUGGUUUGCAGCGCGAACUGUGGGGCUUGAGUGUGCGCGAGGCAGGCGGAAUUCGUGGUGUAGCGGUGAAAUGCAUAGAUAUCACGAGGAACUCCGAUUGCGAAGGCAGCUUGCCGGAGCACAACUGACGCUGAGGCUCGAAGGUGCGGGUAUCAAACAGGAUUAGAAACCCUAGUAGUCC